AUCUGAUCUAUUGAUUUUUGGUAUAUUGCUCUAUGUAAAAUCAAACACCAUCCUGACGGUUCUCAGUACCAAAAAUUUACGCAAUAUGUGACGUCAGCGGGAACGAGACUCGAGUACAAAGUGAAUGACAGAGCAUGACAAAAACAUCCCUACACGGAUAUGGAGUUGGUACUAUUUGGAUGGAGGUGUGAACAUGAUGACAUGCCUGUUGGCUGUAUAAAAGUCAAAAGAAGAGAAGAGAAGAUCCUUCCAUAUUUUUCCAGAGUGUCUUUCAGCCAUUAAUAGCAG